GCUCAACCAUAACAAGGCAAUUAAAAACACAUUGCCCGCCAAACCACUACGAGUGAAAACUUAAAACUUAAAAGACUUGACGGUACUUCAAACUCAACUUAGAGGAGCCUGUCCACUAACCGAUAAUCCACGAUACACCCAACCACUUCUAGCCCAACAGCCUAUAUACCGCCGUCGCCAGCUUACCUUGUGAAAGAUAUAAAGUAGGCAAAAUAGCACCACAGCUAACACGACAGGUCGAGGUGUAGCUGAUGGAGUGGGCAAGAUGGGCUACAUUUUCUAACCCAGACUAAACGGACAAAACAAUGAAACUAAUUUUAGAAGGAGGAUUUAACAGUAAGAUGAGAACAUAAUGCUCAACUGAAACCAA
rnacentral:rRNA from 1 species